rnacentral:lncRNA from 1 species
GGGGGGGGGAGGCAUAUCAGUUGAACCUGUUCUACCAACACUCUUUCCGUACUACUGAUUCUUAGUAAAAAUUCGAGCCCAGUGAGUUACAAUGAAAUAGCUCAAAUAAGUAUUCUGUGAUACAUUUACAUGCCAGGUUCUAUGAUAUAAAGCUAAAACUAAAAAUCCUUUUACCUCAUGGCGGCCCACUGGGUCGGCAUUAAUGAAGAUCGGAGAAGGGAAGUUUAUUUCUAAUAGGAUGAAAACCCAAGUAAGGUCAGGAGUGAGAUGCAGAUUUUGAUGUAUGUUGGGGAGAUUAGAUUUGGGCAUAUAGGAAAGAAAGAGGACCAAGCAAACCUAGGCACUGGCACAUGGACCCAGAAAGGCAGCCUUUAUCCCGGUCAUGGAAGUAUAAAGAGAGUGCAGCGCUGUUUACUCUGUGCCUCUCCGUGAAUCUGGGAGAGCCGCUGAUGAGCCUAGCCCAUGUCCAUCUGGUCCGCUCCUGAGCUGAGCCAAGCCCAUUUCUGGACCCAUCUGACCCGCCCCUGCCUACAUUGUUUUCGAACUUGAAAAGAUUUAACACCAUCACCGUAAUUGGAUUGCCCGGCAUAUCUGAUUCUUCAGUGAGCUGAAUUAAAAGAUACAUGCGUUUUCGUAAAGGAGGGAAACUACAACCGCACAGCUAACCUCGAAGACUUCCUAGCUAAAUGUCAGACAGUAUACCAAGGACAAAACCUGACUAUGCCUCUAUACUUCCUUACAAUCAAUGCUAAUCUGUAAACUGGAAUAAGCUGUUAUUUUAUUUGACAAAGAUGACAUUGUGAAGAAAGAAAAAUGAUGCUUCAAUAUCAGUACAAGAUCUUCCCCAUACUUACUGUGCUUCAAGGAAUUUUGGUGUUGAAUCCAAUCAAGUGUCAAAACAUGAAUACAGGGAGAAGAGAGUGAAAACAGGCCCAGCCCUUCAAUCUCCACCAUGUUCCUAAAGGCCCAUCUUGUCAUUUCACACACACACACACACACACACACACACACACAUACACACAUACACACACACACACACACACACACACACACACAUACACACAUACACACACACACACACACACACACACACACAUACACACAUACACACACACACACACACACACACACACACACACACACACACACAUCCCUGCUUUAGUCCUUUCUGAGACGUCUCUACAGAGAGAGACCUACCCAUUUGAACGAAUCAGAAAACCUGGCAGCUGUACAUACUGAUGAGGCGUGAUGCACUCUGAACUGAGUGAUGGAUUUAUAAAUUGUGAAGACAACUUGGGAAAACUGACCAGCAUAAUAUGGGAAAAUGGAAGAUGCACACCUGCUAGGAGCUCCUUCCAGAAUGUGCAGAACAAGCGGAUACGGAGUGGGAAACCAGCCUCCAGAGCACCCAUUCUGGACUCAAGACACAGCAUGCUCGGUUCUACCCUCGGAUCUUAGAGACGAUCUGGAACCGCUUGAUGCUGCUCUGAGCUCUCUCAGUCCCUCUGAAGGUGACAGCCAGCUGUAUGCAAAGGGAGUUCUCUGUUCCACGCUGAUUUUCUGAUCCACAUUUUACAGCCUCAUUAAAGGAGACUUUAACCACGGUCCCUCAGUACUCUCCG